rnacentral:lncRNA from 1 species
CCAACAUUCCCAAGACACUACUAUAGGAUAACACAUUUUCCUACUGUUAGAAAAUUAAAAAAAAAUUACAAUUCAACUAAUAAAAGCAUCCAUUUACAGACCAAACAUUUUACUUCCAACACCAAGAAAGUAAAUGGGUUUGAGAGUCAGACUAAUAGCACCAACACUGGGUGAUCACAACCCUCACAGGUCCGAGCCUGGGUAUGCCAUCACCGUGCCGUGAAGUCAGGCAAAUCAGACCUGUGAGCACUGAAGAGUUUAUACAAUGGAUUACCAUACCUGCAUUCUUGUUACAUUCCAGUGAUGCAAACAGCAAGCCAGAAACACUAAAGAGUUUCCAAUGAACUCCAAUCUUCCAUUUCAGCACAAGAAAGAUUUCAGAACUUACAAAUGGCAGCUCCAUAUCCAACACACAACUUUAUUCACUUCAUGUUCACACAGUCUGUGCAAUAGAGGACAUGUGCAAUAGAAAGACGUGAAGAACAAGAUGUAGAAGUGGACAGCAUUACAAGGAUCCGACGAGCCCUUCCCUGCACAGCAGCACAGCACUAUACUGCUUUGCGAUGGUACUCAGGAGGGGCCACUUCGUAGUCGCUGGCACUGAACAACGCAGAGGAAUUCUUUGCUAAGUACUUUAAGAAGUCAUGCAAAUAGUUUAACAGCAAAGCCAGACUCUUCUCAUCAAGAGGUGUGUAAGCAAGCAUAGCUCCAAUCCGAACAAACAGCCUCAACAGAUGUGGGGCACCAUAGACUUGAGACAUAGGAGCAUCUGGAUGAUCUGCUAAGAUUUCAGCAUACUGAGGCCUCUCAAACUUGUACAGCAGUUGCGUUCCCAGCAUGACAUUGAAGUAUUCUUUAAUUCCAGCCACAACUUCAUUGACUGCAUACUCCUUAUUAUCAGUAUUUCCCCUAGAUUUCUUGUAGUUUGCAUAAUCCUCUAAAAUAGAGUCAACAUUCUUCUUGGCAGGAAGAUAGAAGAGCUGUUUUUGCCUGGUGAUCAAGUCCCAGUCAUCUACCAACCACGGUUUCAACUCUUCUGGGAUUUUCACUUUUACUUCAACUCUGUUCAUAAAUGUUUCUUCACUUUCCACUGUUGGAUCUACUCGUGCCCUCUUCUUCCUAGGAGGCUGAGGAGUCUCACUGCUACUGUUCCCUUCUCCAAGUCCAGGAGUUUUCUGCUUGUUCUUUUUUGUUUUCACUUCAACAUUUUUCUGCUGCAGACCAGAUGUCUUCUUGCCUGGAGCAGCACCUCUCAUCUUCCCCUCUGCAUAUUGUUCCUGAUUGGCUUUUUGAAGUUCUUUUUGUUUCUGCAAAUUGGUAUCCACGUAUUUGAGCACUCUGCUUUCUGGAACCCAUUCAUCCCAGUUUUUAUUCCAACCACUGUAAUGAAUAAAGUAUUUCACUUGCUUGUCCUUUAUGGCAACCUUUACACACUUUGCUUCAUAAAGGAGAGGUCCAUGAAAACAAAGCACUCGUUCACCCUCCUGGAAUUUGGGCUUGGGGUCCUGCUUGGGCGCCAUUUAUAAGUACCUCUCCCUCCUCCCGCCCCCUCCCCGCGGGGGCCUCACCACCUCCGCCGCAUUCUGCGCGGCCGGCCCCAACCCCCCCCGCCGCACCGCGCAUGCGCACCGCUCUGCGCCGUCCCCGCGGCAUGCUGGGAUCGGUAGUGCGGGCGGGGCGGGGCGGCCGUACCGGGAGAGUUCCGCGCUGGUGUUGGGGCUGCGGUGCUGCCUCGAUUCGGUUUCGUUCGUUGGCGGUGAAGAGCUCAGUGUGACUGAGGAGCACGUGACAAAAAU